rnacentral:lncRNA from 1 species
UGAAAAAAAUUAUUACCUCUCACUUUUGACUCUUUGACCAAACGGUUUAAAUGGACGGAAGGACUACGAAUUUGGACGGAAGAGAAAGUGAGGGACUUAAGUGUUGGGUCGCCAAAAUAGAGAGACAGAAGUGUUAAUUACGUUAAACCUCAGGGACUAAAAAAUAAUUUUCCCUUAAAUUAAUUUUGACAAUUAAUUAAUCUUAAAUUUACAUUUAAUAAUACCAAAGGGUAUUUUUGGAAAACAAGGAAUAUCACUAAAUAGUAAAUUCAUACUUUAUAUUGUGCAGUUUCCUCCCACACGCACACCAUUUCUCGUUUCUCCGUUGGACUAGAUCGCUUCAAGCCAUGGCAGACGAGGUAAGCUUUUGAUUCUCUCUCAGAGCGCUUCGUUUAUUUGCCGAGAAAACGCUGAGAAAGAAACGGAAAUCGAAAGGAAAGUGGGAAAGAAUGUUGGGAUUCCUCACCCGAUAGAUUUACGGAAAACAUAAACUAUUUAGCGAGAUUCUAAUUUCCUCGUUAAUUUUCUAGCGGUUUCUCGGCAUCCAAAGUGAUGGAGUCUGAUAAAUAAAAAGCUAUUUAAGUUGCUUGUACACGAUAGGUUAUUGGGACCUUUGGUGAUGAUUUUGAUUCUGUUUAUCUGUUAUUGUUAUUAUUAUUCUUUUUAUGUCUUAAUGCUUUGUUUACCUCAUAUUUUUAUACAUUCUUUUUCACUAUGUUACUGAAAAUAUUAUUUGAAAAAUUUGUUAUUGAUAGUUAAUAAAAAUUAAUUUUUGGAUCCAUGUCAAUUUAAUUAUACUAUUAGAAUAUAAUGUCUUCAUUUUCUUAUUAAUGUCUUUAUUUUGUUUUUUAGUGGACAAAUUUAUCGCAAAUAGGGGUGUUAUUUUUUGCUUGAUCAUUUUGAGCAGUAUAUUAUUUAAGUUAAUGUAAACAACGAUUGAACUAAGUAUGCAAUAAUUUUGUUGGGGUGAGAUAAUAGCCAAAGUAAAGCUUUAAUUUGCAAAAAGCUUUUGAAAAUCUCUUGUAAUUUCAAGUGUUCUGAUCUCAAAGUAAAUGUUUUUUAUGUAAACAUAGAAUCUAAUUUCUAAAGGUCUGAACAUUUGGAGGGGGGGGGGGGGAAUAGGUAUUUAAUAGCUAGUGAUUAAGUCAGGAUAAGUUUUUUAGCAAAAUAGAAAAAAAGUUUCAAGUUUUUUGAUUUCUGAUUGCUGAAUUAAAGUUGUUCGUGGUCUUUGAAGCUGUGGAUGAGGCAGUAGUAGGUAAAUCAGUAGAAGGGUUGCCGCUACUUGUAGCAGAAGGUUGUGGUCUUGGCGGGUAUUGGUAGCAUUUAUAUGGUUUAGAGUACUGAUAAGAGGAGUUGGAAUAUGGCAAUAAGGAUGGGAUGAUUGGUUAUGGGUGAAACCUUGAAUGGCUCAAGAGAAGCGUUAGAGUUUCUCCGGUUUCUUGCUUUCUAUUAACUGCUCUUGUAGUCUUGCCGCCUCUACUACUUGAGAAGGGAAACACGUUUCAUCAUUCUUAUCGUCAAUCUAAUUUCAUCUUUCAAUUCCUCCAAUAAAACCAAAAGGCAAGUAUAAUUUCCCUAGCUCAGGAAUCAGUCUUUCAAUUCUUGUUCUCAUAUUCUCAAACUUAUCCUGAUACUCUACAGUAUUUUCUUGCCUCAGUUUCUCUCAUGCCCAAACCUUCUACAAAUGCCCUCUUCAAACUCUUCUCAAGUAUGAGUUCAUCCACUGUUCCAAUCAUGAAACCAGGCAUCUACGCAAUUUGAAAGAAAUAAACUUGCUAGCUACACCCUUUGAUCAUUAGGAACCCUAUGAACCAAGUCAUUCACAAAUUUUCUCAACCAAGCUAUGUGCUCCUUACCCUCAAAAGUCACCAACUCAAUCUCAGGCAAAAUUUGAGCUAAUACAGUGUUAAUAAAGGUUCCAUGGUCACCUUGAUCCUUGGUCUGAUGAUUCUGAGCAUCUUCAGGUUAGGCAACAGUUCCUAUUAUCCAUUGAAGCCGACUGAGAACCUCUAUUAUCAGCUCCAGUCCCUCCAUCACAAGAACUGCUGGAUUCUUUGUUCUUUUCAGCUAUACAAUUGAUAUUUGAUCAUGAAGGCUCAUAGCUCCUCCAAGAUCACAUUGCUAUCCGUGGAAGACUUUCUCAUUUACUCUUUGAAAUCUCUCAGCUCCUUGACAAUUGUACAACAUUCUGACUUGCUUCUCCACUUCAGCAAUCCUUAUAAUCUCCUGACUAACAAUUACAAGAUCUAGUCAUUGUUCUGACUGCCAAGGACCAACUAUCCACUGUGUUCCUUGGAUAGAAGCUUUGAUACCAAAUGUUAGAGGUUGCAGAAAUCCUGACAGAGAUUAGAAAGGGAGAAGAUGUAGACAAAUUUGUAGAGAGAGUGAAAGAGAGAUAGAAGGGAAGAGUAGAUUGAGAGAGAAUUGAGUAUUCUUGAUAAUUAUUGGAAUGAAUUACUAGCUGGAUCUCUACUGAGAUUUAUACAGGCUGCAGAAAUUGCCUCUAAUGUCAAGUAAAGCAGUUACAACUGAAUCAACUACUCUACAACCACUUAACUACAACUCCCGCCAGUCUUCCCCUUACCAAACUACUUAUUCUCUUUCAGAAACAUCCAGAAUCUUUCUCACAUUCUUUUCCAGAAUCUUUUCACAUUUUAUUUCUAUUAUUUCUUCCGCUAAUAUGUAACAUACAGCUGCUGCAUGGUGAGCAUAUUCAGACUACAUUGGUCUUAACUCCUGCACUACACAUAUCAGGUGAUAUGGCUGCAUGGCUGUGAAUCUAACUACUCUGUAUUGGUGCCUUAAUCACUUUAUAGGUGCAAAUUGGUCUAUCCAUUUAUGCUUAAUGAAAAAAAUAAAUUACAUAUUAUACCUUACAAGUUAUCAUGGCUUAGCCACUAAAUAUCAUCUAUAUUCGAGACUUCACUGAUGAAUAUAUUCUUUAUGUUAAUAUAUGAACUAUUGAGUGUUAUAUUUUAUCAAAUAUUGAAAGCAAAACAUCUCAAAACUCAAAAUUGUAAUGAAUCUAAUGAAAUUUUAGCAUGAAAGAUGCUCUAAUCUUCUUAAACCUCUUCCAAAUUUCUGUGAUCAGAUUUGCAUUGCUCAAAAAAAUAAUUAUUUUUUGAAUGUUCUUCCUCUCUUACAUUUACAGCUUUAUAAGUCUUUGCACUUUCUCUUAUCACCAUCAAAACAAAAUACGUACCUUAAUAUUAAUAAUUUUACCCUUUUCAAUCUUCUUUUCAUCAUCAUAUUCCAUUGCUGCAUUCAGGAAGUUGUUUUAAUGGCUAUCAGAAAGUAAAUUAAUGAAAUAAUCAGUAAAAUAGAUUAGGCAAGUGCCUAGGUGAAGUUGCCUUACCUGAACCUAAGCGAGGCACUUAGGUUGUUGCACCUUUCCUUUCCAAGACUUGGCAAGUGCCUCGCUUGCCUUUGACAACAGUAUGAUAUAGGCAGUUCUGUAAAAUUUGAAUUGACUAAUAAUAUCCUUCUGCAGCUUGCAUGUCUGGUUUCAAUUUCAGAAUAAUCUGCAAAAAGAAAAAAGAAAGGUCUUUAUGUUUUAGGCAAAGGUCCACAACAUUAGAAAUCAAUGUGACAUGAAUAACUUUUACAGUGCUUGUGCAUGUAUAAGUUAUUGUGAAAUGUAUUCUAAAGUUACCAAAACCCCAGACUCUGUGAAGGGUAUAUACAUAUGCAUGGGGGACAAUGUGUUUUACCCAUUUCAUUUUUGUAAGAGGGAUUAAAUUUAAGGACCUGUUUAAGGAAAUUAUGUUGGUUAGCCAAGAUAAUCUUUUUUUCCUUUUCUAUUUUGAUGAAGUACAAACAGCCAAGAUAAAGCUGCUGGGAUGAAAUCCUAAAAGAGUCUUG